AAUAAUUCAAUACAACCAACUCUAAUAAUUAACAUCCUCAACAAAAAUACUAAAUUUUACUAAAAAUGGCUCUAGAAUAUCAAAAGAUUAUAUUAUAAAUAAUAUUAACAUACAUUGGUUUAUUUUUAAUCCCAAAAUAAUAAUAUAACAAAAUUGUACAAUCCCAAAAGAGUGAGAUGAUCAGGAUGUCCUAACAAAAAUCAUCUAUAUCUUCUAACAUCAUCACGUGGCCAAGACUCAAAAUAUAUUUACAGUCGCUGGAUCAGUCUGGUGUACUUGCAACCUCCUAGUGGGGGGAAAAUAUAAUAAAAACGGAAUAAGUAUAAAACUCAGUGAGCUCAAUGAGUGGAUAGUAAUUUUUGAAAAUUAGUUCUUACUUUCAAAGAAAUAAUCAUAUCAUUUCCAAACAUGAUUUCAUCAAACUAUAUGCGAGAAACCAGUAAUAAAUCAUUUAACAUUUAAAUCAAAUCACUAACCAUGAAAAACAUAUAUAAUAUCGUACCUAAUAACUAUAUAAAUCAUAUCACAAUAUCAUAUAGAAUACACAAAUCUAAAAAUCAUCACCAAACAAAUACCUAAGGAAAUAAUCUCGUCGUAUCUAGACCUCAAAGGGCAAUAACAUACUAUCUAGGUACAGUCACGCCCCGGAACUAUACGGAUAGACAUGAAAAUAUCAUCUCAUAUCUCAUCAUAUAUGUGCAUCCAUAAUCUAGUCCCCAAAUGAUAAAAGCGCCCAAGCACAAGGCCAAAAGCCUUUGAGUGUACUCAGACGAGCCCCAAAAGCUUGUAUCUCAUAUGCAUAAUCUGUAUCUCAAUAUUUGUUUGUAUCUCAUAUCUGUAUCGCUGUAAUCAUCAUACCGCAUGCAUAUACCCCUAAAAGCCUCUAUGUGUUUUCAGACGGGCCUCAAAUGCCUCUCAUCUCAUCUGUAUCAUUAUAUCUAGAGGGAAGGGUACUGUCCAAUUAUUUUAAAAACAAUCUCUAUACUUAUAUUCAUGUACAUUCUGAUUAUACUUUAAAUCAUACAUUUCUUUUCAUUAUCACAUCUAAAUCCACUUUUCUCAUAUUUAAAAUACUAUCAUAUUUUAUUCAAAGUCAAUACGAAAAAUCAUUAACCAAACAUUUUAAUAUAAUAUCAACGCGUGAAUAAAAUUCAUUUCGAGAAAAUCAUUAAAUCAGAACAUUUAAAAUACUUAUUUCGCAAACAUGCUUUACUAUCAUAAUUAACUAUGAAAAUUAAUUUUGUAUAUUCCACUCACAGUGACGAUGUUCACGCUUGGUUAUCGUCCACGUCCGCGGACCGGUUCUUGCUCGCAGAUCCUCCUAAAUUAAGGAAACAACAUAAUCAUUUUUCGUCAAUCGGAAUUAAGACUAAAUUUAUGCAAUAAACUCGAAACAAACAUUUGUCCAUAAUUUACAACUCUAGUGUCGAUAGAAUUACCAAAAUACCCUCGAAUCCGUAAAUCAUUAAAAUACUCUGAAAUCGUAAAUCACCAAAUCACCAUCGGAAUCAUAAUUAUACCCAAUCCUCAAUUUCAGGAAUUACUAAAAUAUCCACAGACUCAGAAAUUACAAAAUCGCCCUCAAAAUGUGAAAUUACCGAAUUGCCCUCGCCAGUCAACGGUCGCCGAAAUUCAAGCAACGGUGACCAUGAAGUUCAGGUUUGACACAUCUCACUGAGCUGAGUUCAAUGAUACAGGCAGUGCGCUCCCACACGUGGCGACGACACCGGAAUCUAGCUCGACAGCCCUGUAACUACAACGGCUGAACCACAGCAAAUCGACGGCUCUCGGUGGCUGUGGAUGGUCGGAAAAUCAAAAGGGAGUCGUGGGGAACAAAAUCCAGCCGGUGGUGUCACCAAAACCGGUGAAAAUCCCGGCAGAGCAAAGUGGAAAGUCGCGGGUUUUUCAAGCUUUGGUUGCCGACGUUCUGGCUAUUUUUCGGCGACGUGGACAGCUGGGUAUGAUGGCCGGUCUUCAAGCUUCAGA
rnacentral:lncRNA from 1 species